CACGUAUGGGGCGAGCGUUGUUCGGAAUUACUGGGCGUAAAGGGUGCGUAGGCGGUUCAGCAAGCCUGGUGUUAAAUACCCCGGCCCAACCGGGGAGCUGCGCUGGGAACUGCUGGGCUGGAGUUCAGGAGGGGAAGCUGGAAUUCCUGGUGUAGGGGUGAAAUCUGUAGAGAUCAGGAAGAACACCGAUGGCGAAGGCAAGCUUCUGGCCAUGGACUGACGCUGAGGCACGAAAGCGUGGGGAGCGAACAGGAUUAGAUACCCCCGUA
rnacentral:rRNA from 1 species